GAGGAGCCUGGCAGGCUCCAGUCUAAACGGUCACACAGAGUCAGACACGGCUGAAGCGACUUAGCACGCAUGCACAGCUGACAGCAGCCAGAUAUCUUUGGAGCAGUUGGAAAUAUGAUGAUUUCCCCAGGAGAGUCUCCUGUCUUAACAGCUUCCAAGACAGUGUCACAGGCUAACUAGCCAGACAGCCAUACUAAAGUAUUUACGGAUGAAGUUACACGACUUCCCAAACUUGCUUCAAAAUAAUCCAGUGGGUGAACGCAGAUGGAUGCAUAAAGGAGACAAGAUUUGCUGUGUGUUGAUAAUGCUGAAGCUGGAU